CUGGACUCAUUUCAGGACUCUGAGCAGAGUUCUUAGGUCUGUAAGCCAAGCCACUUCUGUUUCUCUUUUGAGUUGCUAUAAAGUACAGACGAUUCUACCAACCUUGACACAAACGCCCAGCUGCCCCCAGUUCAGUGCCACAGAGAAAAGCCUUGCAGAACAGGUUGAGUUUGUGGAUGGGCAUGGGGUAGAAGGUAUCAUCUCUUCUCUAUCAAUGACUUGGGUGAUACUUCUGGCAACAAAACAGACAGUUCUCGGCCUCUGUGUUUUCAUUGUCCAACUGAAGAUUAGACAAGAGGCAGCAUGGGGUGGUGGAUAAAUCGUGGACCAGGAUUGAAGCGAAGAUCUGCUCAUCUGGGACACUCACCAGGUUGCAUUCCGUAGAAGCAGAUCCUGAUAAGAUGAUGAAGUGCACAUGUCUCUUGAGAAAAUGCUCUCAGGAGAAGGGGGGAAGGUAAGCCAGGUGCAGCAGAGGACUGAGCAAGGUUGGGGUCUCAGCUGGACACUUCUUGGACCUGUUCCCACGGGAGCUCUGGAGUAUGAACUGUACCACAGAAUUGUCUCACCUAGAGAUGCAGAACAGCAACCCAAGUCCCUUCUGGAAGCAGCCCUCUCCCUCCUGGCAGCUGACAGAAGUCUCUCUGGCCAGGCCGGCCUUUUGGCUGCUCUGCAUAUGGAAGUUCAAUUACUGUCAAUGGGAGGCCCAUCGGCAGGGUGAGGGCAGAAUACACAAUGGAGAUCGGUGUACCAGAUAGGCGCCUAGAUCAAAGAAGAACCCAGAGUUUGUGAAGUCCUUUCAUCCUCCCUGAUGAAAGGGAGAAGCUUACUGCUGUUUUCAUGGCUCUGCAUGCCCGGGGAAAGAGGAAGGCCACAGGAAGGUGACAGCUGAGGCAGGGUAUAACAGCAGGUCCCCAGGGUGGGUCAUUCACUGGGCUGACAAUCCAGUUGAUGCUUGCUUGGGUUGGGGCUCUGUGCUAAUUUGGAUGCUGACAGCCAGGUGACAGCAGCAGAGGGAAAGUAAGCUGAGAAGCAGAGAGGGGGAACCUUGAAAUGAUGCCUCUAAACGAUGGUUGACUUGUUUGUGACAUCACACCCCUAAGGCAUAGCUCUUUCCCCUGGGAGGGAUGCUGAGUGGCAAGUAGGCAGGCUGGGUACAUUUCCUUUUGGGAUGUGGUAGCGACAGUGUCCUACAGAGUCAGACUGGUGGCUUUAACAUCACAGGGCUUUGUCCAGCUGGAUCCGGAUAUCCAUUUGUCUAGAUUCCAUUUUCUCUGCUUCCUUUUUUAUUCCAGUAGAUAUAGCAGGCUUUCUCCCUGUAGCCAUGCAGAAGAGAUACAACUCAGAGGUGAUUCCUCUCAAAGGACAUAUUAGAUUCUUGAAGAGAGUCUAACAGGUUUAAGUGGGUCAGAUGCCAUGACUCAACAGCUUCCCCUUGAUCCUUUAAUCUCACAUCUGAAGCAUAAGACCUAUCCAGGUUACUUGGGGCAGCACCACCAUUGUACCAUUAAGGCUUCUCUUUCAGAAGGAUGAAUAAUCCAUCUGCAGCACUAUUUUACACUCUAGUUCAAUUCAAGACUCUGAAUAUGAUUUAUAAGUGUGAGUGAUUAUUUUAAGAUCAACCAGGGUUAAGCCAGGGAAAUUCUGUCCUCUGGUAGGGAGCCUCAAUGACCAGACCACUGUAAAGCCCCAGGAAUGCCAAGAACUCUGAAGAAGAAAGAUUCACCUCUAAGUGAGUUGGAGGAGGCAAAGACAAAAAACAAAAAACAAACAGUACAGGCCUUAGACUAAGGAGUGUGGGAAUGAGUUUCACCUCCAUUUCCAGCAACUGCCACGCAUAGAGUCUCUUCCAAAAAUGCCGGUGGCCUCAAAGAAGAGACAGCUGCUUCCCCAGCCCCUCAUUCAUCACCUGCUUGCUGGCCUAGGACUGAUAAGACAGAUCCAGAUCAAAUUACCUGGCAGCUGGGAGAGCAAGGAGAUAAGGAAAGGCAAGCUUAGGAGAAGUUCAGUAGAGUAGCAAAGAUCAAAUUGUGUAUUAAAUUUUCCAGGAACUAAAACCUUGCUCCCUCUGCAAACCCAGGGGAGGCACCUCCAAUCAGUCAGCACCAAACAGUGUUCCCAGGAGAAAAGCAAUGCCUUCAGCUUCUACUAGGAAUUAAGAAAACAGAGUACUGAGACCAAUUUAUUAUCACGCAGUUGGAUGAUAGGAAAAUGAAAACAAAGGUUAGAGGUGAACAUUAUAGAGGAGCCGAGUGGCCAAUGGCCAGAGAAACUUCAGGCAACAGAAGGAACACUGGGCUGAGCAAAAGACUUGGAUUCUUGUUCUAGCUCCAUCUCUCUCCCUUUGAAAAUGCACUUGAACCCCUCUGGGCUUUAUUUUUUUUUAUUUAUUUAUUUAUUUAUUUAUUUAUUUAUUUAUUUAUUUAUUUAUAAAAUGGUGGGGUGAGGAUUUCUUCAAGCUAAGAUCUUCCUGGCUUGAAGCUCUUAAAAUUUCUUGUUACUGCAGUCUUCCUAAGACAUUCCAUCUGAUGGUUUAUUCUUUUGACUCUGCCAUUUUACUCAACUAAACCUCAAAAUUCUUGACUAUGGAAGCCUCCAGAGGUGUUGUUAAAGCUUUAACUCUUUCAUUAAAAGCCAUGUGACUUGCUUUAUCCAAUGGGAGGUUAGUAGAUGUGACACAAACAAAUGCUCGAAAGAGUACUUGCAUGUUUCCAUUUACGUUUCUGUUCUUGCCUUCUGUCAUCACCAUGACAACAUGCCCAGUCUGGCUCCUGGAGGAUGGGACACACAACGUGGGAACCGGCAAGUCACCAGAGUCAUCUCAGCCAAGAUCAACCAAUAGUCAAUUACCAGGAACGUGAGAGAAUUCUGAGACCAGGACUGCUCAGCCACCUCUGCCUAAAAUACCAACACACAGAACAGUAAAGUGAAUGGAUGUUUAUUAUCCUAAGCCACUAUAUUUUGAGAUUGUACCUCAUGCAGCACUAUUAUGACCAUAGGUGACUGAUAUAAAAAGUAAGGAAUUAUGAAUCAUAAGAAAAAGAUGAACCAAGGAAAGAAUCAGCUUUGAAGAGGUGGUAAACUAUGGGAGUUGGGUAUGCUUUUCUGCAAUGAUCUUGUCUUAUUUUCUUUUUUUUUAAAGGAAGGCCUACCUGAAUAAUUCUGUGCAGGAAGAUAAAAGCAAGAUUAGAGUGAGACCUAUUCAGGGAGGUGUCAUUUUGUGAGCAGUUCAUGACCAUACCCAAUAAUCAGGGUCUGUCUACAUAUCUGAAUUUUAAUCCUUACAUAUAUGGCCUUAGAUGAACUAAAAUAAUUAUAAGAAGUUGUGUCAUUGUAGACUUCUAUUAAUAAACAUAUACCUACAUAUAUACAUGUUUAUGCACAAGAAUCAGCCUGUAUAGGCAUAUUUACCUAGGCAUAUUCAUUGCAUAGUGCUCUCAUGGUUGUGACUUGGGUGGGUGUAGCAAAGUGACAGGCCAGGAUCUCACCACAUAGGAAGAACUUUGGUCUGGCCAAGACAGGGCCAGCUAGUGGCCUCCCUGCCAUUAGCUCUGUCUGCCACCCAAGACAGAAGAAGCCAACAGUCCAAAGGGACAUAGCAGCUUCAUUUUGGUUCUAGUUAGUGGUGCCAUAGAAGAGGAACAGGCAGAUAGGAUCUCAUCUAGGCCAUGAGACAAGCAAGAGUUCUCAAGAAGGGUAGACUCUUAGAAACAGGAGGCCAGUGAGACAUGGAUCUAAGAGGCAUAGCCAGGUAGAAGCAGCCCUAGUCAAUGGCUAGAAGUAUAAUAUCCCAAUAAAAGAGGCAUUCUUAGAAAGCUGGGCAGCAUCUCAGGACCAC
rnacentral:lncRNA from 10 species